CAGAAACUCUCAUCAUCAGAAUUCAGCUUAACAUACAAAUUAAAGAUUUUAAAUUUUAUGAAGAGAUUUAGCGGAAUGCCUCUUGGAAUUUCUGUGGGAGGAUUCUUCUUCUCGGAUAAAGAUUUACCUAUUAAAGCUAUAGAUGCUCUUUAUUCUGUUUUCACAACUCUUCUGAAAUUAAGAGAUCUCUCCAGAGAGAGUAGGUGUCUACCAACAACUGCAUUGAAUAACACAUACGACGAACUAUGGUCAUACAUACGAACUGCAUGAAGUGUGUUCAUAUUUAUGGAGAACGAAAUA